GGUAACAUGACGCUUCGGCGUUGAUGACGACCGGCGCACGGGUGCGUAACGCGUAUGCAAUCUACCUACAGCAGAGGGAUAGCCCGUGGAAACAUGGAUUAAUACCUCAUAAUACAGGGGGCCCGCAUGGGCAUAUUGUUAAAGAUUUAUCGGCUGUAGAUGGGCAUGCGUCCCAUUAGCUAGUUGGUACGGUAACGGCGUACCAAGGCGAUGAUGGGUAGGGGUUCUGAGAGGAUGAUCCCCCACACUGGUACUGAGAUACGGACCAGACUCCUACGGGAGGCAGCAGUAGGGAAUAUUGGUCAAUGGACGGAAGUCUGAACCAGCCAUGCCGCGUGCAGGAAGACGGCCCUCUGGGUUGUAAACUGCUUUUAUCAGGGAAGAAUAAGCUACUUGCGAGUAGUGAUGCCGGUACCUGAAGAAUAAGCACCGGCUAACUCCGUGCCAGCAGCCGCGGUAAUACGGAGGGUGCGAGCGUUGUCCGGAUUUAUUGGGUUUAAAGGGUGCGUAGGCGGCCUGUUAAGUCAGUGGUGAAAGGUAUCAGCUCAACUGAUGACGUGCCAUUGAAACUGGCGGGCUUGAGUACAGACGAGGUAGGCGGAAUUUAUGGUGUAGCGGUGAAAUGCAUAGAUACCAUAAAGAACACCGAUAGCGAAGGCAGCUUACUAGGCUGAGACUGACGCUGAGGCACGAAAGCGUGGGGAGCGAACAGGAUUAGAUACCCUGGUAGUCCACGCUGUAAACGAUGAUUACUGGAUGUAUGCGAUACACUGUAUGCGUCUGAGCGAAAGCGUUAAGUAAUCCACCUGGGGAGUACGACCGCAAGGU
rnacentral:rRNA from 1 species